CCCGUCAUAGCUCAACGGUAGAGCGUUCGGCUGUAGCCCGAGAGGUUCCCGGUUCAAAUCCGGGUGACGGGA
rnacentral:tRNA from 1 species